rnacentral:lncRNA from 1 species
GAUGCAUUCUGCUGGAAUUGUUAUAGUCAGAACCUGUCACAAGCAGGAAUAAUUCUGGAGGCAAUUCCAAACUGCCUGUCUCCCCUAUCUGAUGCUGUUUUUCCUGUGGUCUUUUAUGUGUGGCUCCUCUGCCCACACAGGGGGAUGAGUUACUGGGACAGUCCGGUGACUCACAGGCUACUGAUGGUGAUAAUUUGCUUACAUUCUUCUCCAUUCCCCAGUGAUCACUACUUGGGGUGUGAUCUUUUCCUUAGCCUGGGGUUUCUUAACUUGGGGUCCAUAAAGAGGUCACUUCUAGAAAUGGGAGACAGAAGGCAAUCUAUGUACAAACUGUUUUGGGUAUAUGCUUACUAUAUUUGUCUCAGGAGAGAAAGUCCAUCCAUUUUUACCAAAGGAUGAAACUCAGAAAUUGAGAGCAUGUGGUUACUGUCCAUCUGCAACCAAGAAAGCCUUAUAAAGACAGUUCCUUCUCUCUCUUCCUCCUCCUCCAUCUGCCAACUUCCUCUAGGCUUAGUCUGAUUCAUUAAAAGUAGAGUAUCACAAUUGUUCCAAAGAAUCAAGGAAAGACCCUGGCCCCACUCGACACUGUCACAAGUAGUUGGACCACCGAUGUAGUGGGGAAGAGAAAUCCCUAGAACUCAGCACCAAAUCUUAGCAAUUGACCAGCUGGCCUUCUGUCUUUAAUAGCUCAAAGUGAAAUGAUGAAAUUUUGAAGUCACUUUCUGAGCCGUCUGGGUGGCAUAAAGCAGUGACCCCAGCCAUGAAAACUAUCUUUCCCAUAUGAAAUGCC